rnacentral:rRNA from 1 species
UAAUACGUAGGGGGCAAACGUUGUCCGGAUUUACUGGGUGUAAAGGGUGCUCAGGCGGUCUUGUAAGUUAGAAGUGAAAUCCUAGGGCUCAACUCUGGAACUGCUUUUAAUACUGCAAGGCUUGAAUAUGGAAGAGGAGGGUGGAAUUUCUGGUGUAGCAGUGAAAUGCGUAGAUAUCAGAAAGAACACCAGUGGCGAAGGCGGCCCUCUGGUCCAUUAUUGACGCUAAAGCACGAAAGCGUGGGGAGCAAACAGGAUUAGAUACCCUGGUAGUCCACGCCUUAAACGAUGAAUACUAGACGUUGGGGUCAAACUCAGUGUCGCAGCUAACGCAUUAAGUAUUCCACCUGGGGAGUACGAUCGCAAGGUUG